rnacentral:rRNA from 1 species
AUGGAUGUUGGGGUUUCCGUGGGGCUGAAGAAUGAAAAUGGAUCAUUCAAACUAUUUGUCAUGGAAUGUGGCUGUUAUAUGAAAGACUUGGACAUAACACUUAAUGGAGGAUCCUCUUGGUUUUAUCAAGGAUUCAUAGAUGCUUUUAGCAAUCAUAUCAGAUCAUCUUUGGAAAACGCGAUUAUGAACAAAAUAGUUGAGGGUGCAUCGAAGCUCGACCUUUUCCUAGGAGGUCUUCCAAAGGAAAUUUAUGUUGAUAGAGUCGCUACUAUGAAUGUGACAUUUAUUAAUGAUCCGCGCUUCAGUAGUUCCUCUGUUGAGUUUGAUAUAGAUGGACUAUUUAUUCCAUCUAAUAAAACUGCUCCUCAGAGUGACAUGCAUUUUGGUGAUACCAAACUUGCACCACCUCUUGGCAGCUCUUCAAACAUGUUGUGGAUUUCAUUGGACGAAGAUGUUUUCAACUCUGUUUCAUCUCUCUACUUCAAGGCUGGUUUACUACAACAUAUGGUGGACAAGGUUCCCGAUCAGUUUCUUUUGAACACUGCUGGCUGGAGGUUUUUGAUUCCAAGGUUGUACCAUAAAUAUCCAAACAAGGAUAUGCUACUGAACAUUUCUGCUAUAUCACCUCCCUCUGUGAGGAUUAAUGUAGGUAGAAUUGACACCACGAUGGACUUAGAUGUCAUAGUAAUCGUAUUGGGUUCUGAUGAUAUAGUUCCAGUUGCAUGCAUAUCACUGUCAAUUUCUGUUUCUGGACGUGCAAGUGUUUCUGGGAAUAAUCUUGUUGGAAACGUUGAGUUAAAUUAUUUCUCGUUUGACUUGAAGUGGAGCGAUAUUGGCAAACUUCAUACUGGUAUAGUGCCGAGUCCGACGCGUAUUGUCCUGAAAACUUUGUUCAUGCCCUACGUGAACUCGUAUCUUGGACACGGUUUCCCGUUGCCCAUCAUCAAGGGCUUCGUCAUCAGAGAUUCUUAUAUCCUCACUUCAUACUCAAGCAUUAUGUUUCCUUCGUCGAACCAAUGA